UGAGCAACCUGCCCUUGACCCCGGAAUAACAGCUGGAAACAGCUGCUAAUACCGGAUACGACCUCCGACGGCAUCAUCUGGAGGUGGAAAGCUCCGACGGUCAAGGAUGGGCUCGCGGCCUAUCAGCUUGUUGGUGAGGUAACGGCUCACCAAGGCUUCGACGGGUAGCCGGCCUGAGAGGGCGACCGGCCACACUGGGACUGAGAUACGGCCCAGACUCCGUACGGGAGNAGCG
rnacentral:rRNA from 1 species